GAUGAAGAACGCAGCGAAAUGCGAUAAGUAAUGUGAAUUGCAGAAUUCAGUGAAUCAUCGAAUCUUUGAACGCACAUUGCGCCCGCUAGUAUUCUGGCGGGCAUGCCUGUUCGAGCGUCAUUUCAACCCUCAGGCCCCCAGUGCCUGGCGUUGGGGAUCGGCGCGGCGCCCUCCGGGGCGCUGCCGGCCCCGAAAUUCAGUGGCGGUCUCGCUGUAGCCCUCCUCCGCGUAGUAGCACAACCUCGCGGCCUGGAGCUCGGCGGUGGCCAUGCCGUAAAACACCCCACUUCUGAAAGUUGACCUCGGAUCAGGUAGGAAUACCCGCUGAACUUAAGCAUAUCAAUAAGCGGAGGA
rnacentral:misc_RNA from 1 species